rnacentral:rRNA from 1 species
UACAGAGGGUGCGAGCGUUAAUCGGAAUUACUGGGCGUAAAGCGCGCGUAGGCGGCUUUGCAAGUCGGGUGUGAAAUCCCCAGGCUCAACCUGGGAACUGCAUUCGAGACUGCAUUGCUAGAGUAUGGGAGAGGGAAGUGGAAUUUCCGGUGUAGCGGUGAAAUGCGCAGAUAUCGGGAAGAACACCCGUGGCUAAGGCGGCUCUCUAGUACGGUACUGACGCUGAGACGCGAAAGCGUGGGGAGCAAACAGG